UCUCUCUCUCCCAUUCUCUGAACAACACAAACCCUCGUGGUUCAAAUGCAAAAUUGAAGGUCAAGACUCGAGAGUCUCGCAACAAGUCAAGAAGAAAACGUGAUCUACGGACGGAGGGCUACGCAUCUAUCCGAACAAAAUCUCGAUCGGCCAACUUUGGAGUUCCUAGCAAAUUCGGAGGUUUUCAUUUUUGAGGUAAGGCGGUGGAUCCGAAGACAUGAUAGUGUUUGGUUUGUUAUAUUUUUAUGAGCUUAGUUGAUAUACUUGUAUUCCAUUAAUUUGAUAGUAAGAUUUUGGAAGUCCUGUGACUUGGUAUUCUCUUGGGUUGUAAUAAAUUUAAUCACAUAUUUUGACUC